rnacentral:ncRNA from 1 species
GUCUAAGUACAUGCCGUAUUAAGGCGAAACCGCGAAUGGCUCAUUAAAUCAGUUAUGGUUCCUUGGAUCGUACCUUACUACUUGGAUAACUGUGGCAAUUCUAGAGCUAAUACACUAACAGCAAAUGUAAUUGAACGUUUAUUUGUCCUACGUCUUGGUAGCUCAAAAACGUUAACAAAACAUUGCUGUUUGUGCCUGAAAAUGUAAUAAUACAUUAAACAUUUCCAAAUCAAAUAGUAAACUAGUAUUUGUAAGGUUGGUUUUAUAAGUGGAAGUUAGAG